CCGGGCGUCGGGCGUCUGGACCCUCACCUGCACACCUAACCCGCGGUGCACCCUCCCUCGACCCCACUCCCUAAGACCCCCGUCCCCAACCUCCCUAGUCUGGUGCCUCGGGGCUCCGCUCCCGCUUCCUCGGUCCCUUCCCCCUUGAGGGCGCCGCUGCCCCGCUCCCUCUCCCUCGGCGUUUUUCCUUCCCCUCCCCGCGAAGUUUCGGGGCUGUCAGUCUGUCAGUCUUUCGGGCAGUCGGCACCCGGGCUGCAGGCAGCGGGCGCCAUUGUGAGCAGAGCCGGCUAGGACUGGAGGCCCGGGCGCCUGGGUCCCCGCAGCUGGCUGCAGCGCGGAGACCCGCCGGCCCGCCAGGUAAGGGCCGGGGAGGCUCCGGCAGCGGGCGGCUCCGCCCGCCUCCCCUUCAGCGCACACUCGCAGGCUCUGCCCGCUGCGUGCAGGGUCUGUGGCCUGAUCCCCAGGAGGGGCUACUCCCUGUUGCCAUGAGAGAGACUUUGGAGGCUCUCAGCUCUCUGGGAUUCUCUGUGGGACAGCCAGAGAUGACCCCACAAAGUGAACCUAAGGACAGGUCUCAUAAUACCCAGGGGCAGAUGUCCUCCUCCAGUGAAGAGAGAGCACUGGGUACAUGCUCAGGGCACGAAGUCCCUGGCCCAGAGGAAUGUGCUCAGACUGAACAAGCUGAGGCUCCCAACAGGGGAGGACGAGCGUGUACCCCACAGAAGGCUGAGCCUGUGGGCUCCUGUUCUGGGGACGAGUGGAUGAUUCGGAAGGUGAAGGUGGAGGAUGAGGAUCAGGAGGCAGGAGAGGUCGAAUGGCCCCAGCAUCUGUCGUUACUUCCCAGCCCUUUCCCUGCGCCUGAACUGGGGCAUCUGGCUGCUGCGUACAAACUGGAACCAGGGGCCACGGGAACAUUAGGCGGGAUCGCGCUGUCCGGGUGGGCCCCAAUCCCGGAGAAGCCAUAUGGCUGCGGGGAGUGCGAGCGGCGCUUCCGGGACCAGCUGACGUUGCGGCUGCACCAAAGGCUGCACCGGGGUGAGGGCCCCUGCGCCUGCCCGGACUGCGGCCGCAGCUUCACGCAGCGCGCUCACAUGCUGCUGCACCAGCGCAGCCACCGCGGAGAGCGGCCUUUUCCGUGUUCCGAGUGUGACAAGCGCUUCAGCAAGAAGGCCCACCUGACCCGCCACCUGCGCACGCACACGGGCGAGCGGCCCUACCCAUGCGCGGAGUGCGGCAAGCGCUUCAGUCAAAAGAUACACCUGGGUUCCCACCAGAAGACCCACACAGGCGAGCGGCCCUUCCCCUGCACCGAGUGCGAGAAGCGCUUUCGCAAGAAGACGCACUUGAUCCGGCACCAGCGCAUCCACACCGGCGAGAGGCCCUAUCAGUGCACGCAGUGCGCACGCAGCUUCACGCACAAGCAGCACUUGGUGCGACACCAAAGGGUGCACGAAGCUGCUAGUCGAGCCCAGCCCUCUCCAGACACGCCCGCCUCGCCGCAUUCCCCAGCCGCGUCCCCCACCCCGUCCCCUCCCGGGCCGAAACCAUUCUCCUGCUCCGAUUGCGGCCUGAGCUUCGGCUGGAAAAAGAACCUCGCCUCACAUCAGCGCCUGCACCGCAGCGAAGGUCGCUCCUUUGGGUGCGACGAUUGCGCACUGGGAGCCACCGUGGACCCUGCCGCCCCCGAACCCUUGGCCUGCGCGCCCCGUGGGCCAAGCUGCGGCCCUGAGUCCGGCACGGCGACGCCCCAGCGCACCCCCUCGGGCGAGCGGUCCUUUUUCUGUCCCGAUUGCGGGCGCGGCUUCGCUCACGGACAACACCUGGCGCGACACCGGCGCGUGCACACCGGCGAAAGGCCCUUCGCCUGCGCGCAGUGUGGCCGCCGCUUCGGCUCGCGGCCCAACCUGGUCGCCCAUUCCAGGGCCCACAGCGGCGCCAGGCCUUUCGCCUGUGCUCAGUGUGGUCGCCGCUUCAGCCGCAAGUCGCACCUGGGCCGUCACCAGGCGGUGCACACGGGCAGUCGCCCCCACGCCUGCGCCAUCUGUGCCCGCAGCUUCAGCUCCAAAACCAACCUGGUCCGCCACCAAGCGAUCCACACCGGCUCGCGCCCGUUCUCCUGCCCUCAGUGCGGCAAGAGCUUCAGCCGAAAGACCCACCUGGUGCGGCACCAGCGCAUCCAUGGCGAAACGGUGCACCAGGCCUCAGAGACCGACCUCGCGGCCUCAGCCUGGCCGGCUCCCACAGAGAUGGCACCGCCUCCGCUCUUCUUCUGAGCCGCGUUCUCACUAGGAUCCUUUCUUUGCUCGCAGAUUCCAGAGACCUGUGUGCCAGAAGGCCUGGGCUGCAGCUGAAGGCCUGAACUCCUUUGGCCACUAUCCUAUCUUCAGCGUCUGGGGAGACAUCCGCCAAGCAUACCCAGCUCUGGCGUUAUGACAAAGAAAGUGCAGAGAGAACCCUUGCCUCGCACCAUGGGAAAGCAGUCAUUUCCUGGGCCGGGAAUGGCCAAGGGCCGACUGGGUGGGGAACCUCUACCCAGAGUAAAGAUUCUGUGUACUUCAAGUAGCAUUAAAGUUCGAAUCUGAAGUUCUGGGGCUUUUACCCGAGCUGGGGGAGGCAAGCCGGAGUCUUCUGUCCACAUUCCCACCUCCAUCCACAGGAAAAGCCCCUUCCCUUUUUGUCAAAGGAUGGUUGAAUUUAGCCUGCUGCUGUUAGUUGGUUUUUUCCAGGUCAAAAUGUUAUAUGCUACCCUGGUUCCUGCUUCUAGUUCAGAUAUUUGACAAGAAUGAGAUCUUCCUGCACAUUCCAUUGCCCUCCUGCCAGGAGCUGAAGACUAGGCCUGAAGGGAAGGCAGAGAGGGGCGGGCUGCACUUUGGCCAUCCCCUAGACUUGGAGCUCUGUGCUCCUGCUUGUUUGCAGCUCUCAAGACCAAGGGGCUUCCGACAGCAGCUUCUCCUGUCACCUGCCUGGGCAGUGGGGAAGGAGGAAAGGUCAACGGUGAAGGAAGUUUGCUUUCACAUCACAUCACACGCUCCACCAAGUGCUCUCCUGGUGAGGGUUGCCUGCUCAAGAGCCUCCACAAUGGCACUUGCCCAGCCCAGGCAGCAGUGUGAGCUGGGGCUGGCUGGCAGUGAGGGGAAGGGCAGGGGAACGGGGGCUAGCUGGACUUGGAGUGGCAGUCCUGGGUUUGACCCCUCCUCUGUGUCACCAGGGACUUGACUUUCUCAUUAAAAUGAGAAUUGAUAUUGACAAGGGCUGAGACCCUUCCUGGUUCAACAUCACUAGUGCCAAAAAAUAACCCUAGCUCACUAUGUGCCAAGCAUGGCAGUAGGCACUGGGAACAAUAAGCAGCCAGAGAGCAAGGACCCUGCCUCACAGAGCUCACAGUCAGUGUAAGUGCAGUCACGGGGUACACACCGAGGCUCUGGAGUGCAGAGGAAGGACAUCCAAAGUCUCGAAGUCCAGGGAGGUCAGAAGGAGGAGGACACUGCUGAAGCAAGGUGUGAAGAGGCAUAGGAGGCAUGGGGUGGGCAAGGUACAGGGGGGAGAGGAGAGCGUGUGGGAAGUCCAAGGCCCAGCGUGGCCAGAGGGCAUGAGAUGCCAGAGAGGUGCCUGAGCUAGAAAGGCGUUCAGCACAGUGCAGGAGCUUAGACCAUAUCCUAGGGAGGGGGAACCACAGCAGGGUUCAGGCAGGGCGGGGACAUGGCCAUGUUUACAUUCACGCAUUUUAGAAAGAUGCUGGCCUGAAGGGAGUGAGUCUGGAGGUCUGCACUUCAGUUGUCCACGUGCCAGGUUGUGGUGACCUUGGACCGUGGUUGCAUCAGAGGGGAUGGAGAAGUGAUGGUUUCAGGAGACACUUAACAGGCAGAUGGUAUAAGACUCUUUGAGAAGGAAUGGGGACAUCGGUGGGGUUGGCCUGAUUUCUGCUUAGGAACUGACUAGAUGACAUGACUUUCCCUCAAGAAGUGUUACCCAGGAGGAGAAGCAGUAUGCUAGGGGACCAGUCUUGCACCUGCUGAGCUGAUAUGACCCAUUAGAAGUAGACCCUACAGGUGCUGAGGACAGGAGAGGACUGGAAUGGAGACAGGUGGGCCUGAGAACCAUCCAUGUGUUUUGAAAGCUGUGGGGUAUGGGUGGCUCCUCAAAGAACUGCACGUGAAGUGAGAAAAGAGGAGGCCUGGAUCAGAACCCAUUGGAACAUCAGGAUUAAGGGAUGACAUUGAGAGAAGUCUGAAAAGAUUGGGAAUGUGGAGGGCAUUGGAGAAUGGAAAGGAAGACCCGAGAGGGGACAAAGAAGGAGCCAAGGAAAGAGCUUCAGGAUAAAGGAAGCAGGACGGCUGUGGACCAGUCACAGGAGUCAGGACAUCCAAUUCCUGGGAUUCUGCAUCGAGGCGAUCAUUGGCAGAGGGUUGGACAUCAAGAGGAGACAUCUGCAAGUCUCAAGUCAGAAAGAUUCCAGGUGUGUCCAACUUGACUGACUCAGGCAGGCAGGAGACUCCGGCAUUUUAAUCUGCCACUCAUAAAGAUUGACUGAGCUUUCAGCUCUACCCAGCCUUAUGCAGACGUUGCAGGGAACAGAACAAAAGCUCUUGCCCCCUGGAGUUGAUUGUUCAGAUGUAGGACAAACUUGUGGCUCACUUGGGCCCUACAUGCUGGGUGCUCUGGGAGACCAAAGGAGUAAGAGCCAUAGUCUCUGACUGGUAAACCCAAGCUACUGCUGGAAAAGGCUGGACUUCAUGAUCCACCUAGACUGCCAUGUGUAGUGGGCUGGGCCCAUGUACUGCUUCCUGUUCUUCAGGAUUAAAGUGCAGAGAAAGAGUAGGGUGUGGGCUGGAGUGACCAGGGGUAGUUUCUGGAAGAAGGAGCGUCCUGGGGGAAUCUUGAAGGGUAUUAGGACUGGAAAAGACAAGGAGGCGGCACAGGAACCCUGGAUCAAUCCAAGACCACUGUGCAAUGGGCUCAGGCCACAAGAGGUCAGCUGUUUGUAACUCUAGGUUGGGGAGGAGAAGCGGGUAUCUUGCCUAGUGUCAGUGCAGAGAGAACCCACCUCUGCAGGACUGAUAAAUGUUGGAGGUAAUGGGUGUGAUAAUUACUCAGACUUGAUCUUCACACAUUGUGUAUAUGUACCAAAACAACACACUGCACCCCAUAAAUGUGUACAGUUAUUAGUGUCAGUUAAAAAAACCACAAAACUCUGUACCUAUUAAAUAAUAGCUCCCUAUUCUCCCCUUCCUGCUGCCUUUGGCAAGCAGCAGUCUACUUCCUGUCCCUAUGAAUUUGACCAGUCUACAUGCCUCGUGUAAGUGGGAUCACAUAAUACUUGUCUGACUUUUUUCACUUAGGGUAGUCUUCCAGUUCCAUCCAUGUUGUAGCAUGUAUCAGAAUUUCCUUCUUUUAUUUAUUUAACUUUUUUUAGUGCUGGUGAUUGAACCUAAUUUCCUUUCUCUUUUGAGGCUGAGUAAUAUUCAAUUGUGAAUCUGUAAUACUGUUUGUUUACUCAUUUGUCUGUCAAUGGACAUGGGUUGUUCCACCUGAAGGCUGUCAUGAAUAAUGCUGCCGUGAACAGGAGUUCCUGUUUUCAGCUCUUUUGAGCACACAUCCAGAAAUGGAACUACUAAAUCAUAUGGCAAUGCCAUUUUUAAGUUUUUGAGGAGCUGCCAUACUGUUUUCCACAGUGGCUAUUCCACAUUACCUUCCCACAAGCAGUGUUCAAGUGUUCCAGUUAUGUAGUUCUCCAUCUCAUUGUCUAUGGCUUCACUUUCUGUGGUUUCAGUUAUCUGAAGUUUCAGCUACCUGUGAUCAACCACAGACUAAAAAUAUUAAAUGAAAAAUUCCAGAA